CCGCUCCCUGAGACCUUAAUCUGUGGUACAAUCAACACACAGGUUGGCGUCUCGGGGCCUGGGA